GUAGCUUGCUACCUGCCGGCGAGUGGCGAACGGGUGAGUAAUACAUCGGAACGUGCCCUGUAGUGGGGGAUAACUAGUCGAAAGACUAGCUAAUACCGCAUACGACCUGAGGGUGAAAGUGGGGGACCGCAAGGCCUCAUGCUAUAGGAGCGGCCGAUGUCUGAUUAGCUAGUUGGUGGGGUAAAGGCCCACCAAGGCGACGAUCAGUAGCUGGUCUGAGAGGACGAUCAGCCACACUGGGACUGAGACACGGCCCAGACUCCUACGGGAGGCAGCAGUGGGGAAUUUUGGACAAUGGGGGCAACCCUGAUCCAGCAAUGCCGCGUGUGUGAAGAAGGCCUUCGGGUUGUAAAGCACUUUUGUCCGGAAAGAAAUCGCUUCGGUUAAUACCUGGAGUGGAUGACGGUACCGGAAGAAUAAGGACCGGCUAACUACGUGCCAGCAGCCGCGGUAAUACGUAGGGUCCAAGCGUUAAUCGGAAUUACUGGGCGUAAAGCGUGCGCAGGCGGUUGUGCAAGACCGAUGUGAAAUCCCCGGGCUUAACCUGGGAAUUGCAUUGGUGACUGCACAGCUAGAGUGUGUCAGAGGGAGGUAGAAUUCCACGUGUAGCAGUGAAAUGCGUAGAGAUGUGGAGGAAUACCGAUGGCGAAGGCAGCCUCCUGGGAUAACACUGACGCUCAUGCACGAAAGCGUGGGGAGCAAACAGGAUUAGAUACCCUGGUAGUCCACGCCCUAAACGAUGUCAACUAGUUGUUGGGGAUUCAUUUCCUUAGUAACGUAGCUAACGCGUGAAGUUGACCGCCUGGGGAGUACGGUCGCAAGAUUAAAACUCAAAGGAAUUGACGG
rnacentral:rRNA from 1 species